rnacentral:rRNA from 1 species
GCCGGCAGCCAUAUCACCCUCCAGCACUCAACUGGCAGCCCACUGAAGCUCAGCAGGGUUGAGCCUGGCCAGUACCUGGGUGGGAGACCUCCUGGGAAGCUAUGGUUGCUGCUGGAA